AGUCAUAACGUCGCCAUGGGAACCUAGUCCGCUCGUGGGGCUGUUUGCAUUCUUCGAAAGACUUUCCGUUUGUCCUCGUCUACUGAUGUCCACUGAUUUAAGCUUACCUCCGAUAAAAUACACCAUUCAAUAGUGUAUUAUUGAAAGUCAUCUUCGCGAUAAAAGUGUUUACUUACUCCACUGGUGGAGUGAAGAGUCGUGAACGUCGCAGGUUUUUAAACCGUGAAGAUUAUUUCGUUGAAGACCGGAUUGGCGUCCGAGUGUCCGAGUCCAAACCCAGUGUGUUUCUUUCCACGUCGAUAUCUGGCCGGGUCUUUCGUUUGGAUCGAUUCUUGCUGUUCAAGUGAAUUCAGCUGCUGUGCGAUCGCCUUCAAGCACCGUGAAGGCGAACCCCAACAGCUGUGGCGAGCCUGGCCUUCAGAUAAGAACUGUUGAUAUAACUGAAUGAAUGAGACUCUUUUAUUUUGUUUUGUUUUGUUUUCUUCUUCUUCUUUUGUAAUACACUGUAUUCAACGUGUCAUGCUAUAGUUUCUAUUACCUAUUUAUAUAUU